rnacentral:lncRNA from 1 species
AUGGGCCGCGGGGACCUUGGAGGCACCGGGCUGCGGCACGGGCUCCCGAGGGGCGCCCGCAGGCACCGCGGCUCGAUUCGCGCUCCUGCGCGCACCGCCGUCGGGGCCCGGGCAGGGGCCGCAGCUCGGGAGCCUGCGGACGCCCGUGCAGGGUCCGGGUCCUGCUCGCCGGGGAGGCCGCGCGCUUUUCGGCAGGGGCCCACCCGACUCCCGCGGGUCCCUGCGCUGCGGUUUGCUGCGGGUAGCGCCUACAGGGGAGAGAACGCGGGCGCCUCCUCCCAGGGGCGGAAAAAGUUGCAGAAGCCGGGCGUGUGGGUGACCGGAGGACCGGGGCAGGGGUACAGCGGGGGCUUGACGCGACCGCUGCGCUCAGAGAGGAGCGCAGGGCGCCGCCGGCGACUGCAGGCAGGGCCAUUUGGGGGACUUUGGGGAAAUUGUCCCCAGAUGGUCUCUGGGAGGAAGGGAACGGGGCGGCGGGUCGUCCCUGCCGGAGCGCUCGCCCGCCCGGGGAGGCUGAGGGGCGCCGCCCGCACGUCUGGGCGCCGGAGUCGGAGUCUGCGAGGCGGUGCAGCGCGCGGCGCGGGGGACCAGGCGGGUCGGGGUCCGCCGACUCCUGCGGCGCCGAGGUGCCUCGGGCUGCGGGAAGGGAGCCCGCGCCGAGGCCGAGUCGAACCCUGUGCGUGCGCCCGCGUGCGCUGUGCCCGCCACCGCGCUGGGCUGCGCUUGCCCGGGAUGUUAUGUAAGGGACGCGGUGCUCCAUCCAGUGUUCCACACGCACUGCUGGAGUGCAGGAACUUCCGUCCGUGUCUGCACGUAGGUCCGGGGUGUAGACAGCCGCGACCGGCUCCAGAUGUGUGCUCAGCUGUUGCCUGUCACGACAGUGACAAGUGGCCCUUCCCCACCGUGGUCCUCAGGGGGGUGUCAGCGUGCGGCCGCCGGGUGCGGGUGUGGGCUCAGGGCGGCAGCCUUGUUCGACCACCCCCCAGCUGCGUGUCUGUUCCCACACUCUGCCUGCAAGAUAGAUCCGCUUUGAAUUGA